CAUGCCUACGGGACGCAGCAGUAGGGAAUCUUCCACAAUGGACGAAAGUCUGAUGGAGCAACGCCGCGUGAGUGAAGAAGGGUUUCGGCUCGUAAAGCUCUGUUGGUAGUGAAGAAAGAUAGAGGUAGUAACUGGCCUUUAUUUGACGGUAAUUACUUAGAAAGUCACGGCUAACUACGUGCCAGCAGCCGCGGUAAUACGUAGGUGGCAAGCGUUGUCCGGAUUUAUUGGGCGUAAAGCGAGUGCAGGCGGUUCAAUAAGGCUGAUGUGAAAACCUUUGGGUCA
rnacentral:rRNA from 1 species